GAGAAAAGCAGGGGAUCGCAAGACCUUGCGCUUUUGGAGCGGCCGAUGUCUGAUUAGCUAGUUGGUGAGGUAAAGGCUCACCAAGGCGACGAUCAGUAGCUGGUCUGAGAGGACGACCAGCCACACUGGAACUGAGACACGGUCCAGACUCCUACGGGAGGCAGCAGUGGGGAAUUUUGGACAAUGGGGGCAACCCUGAUCCAGCCAUGCCGCGUGAGUGAAGAAGGCCUUCGGGUUGUAAAGCUCUUUCAGCCGGAACGAAACGGUCACGGAUAAUACCUGUGACUAAUGACGGUACCGGAAGAAGAAGCACCGGCUAACUACGUGCCAGCAGCCGCGGUAAUACGUAGGGUGCGAGCGUUAAUCGGAAUUACUGGGCGUAAAGCGUGCGCAGGCGGUUUUGU
rnacentral:rRNA from 1 species